GAUAGAGGAACCAGAAGAAAAUUAGAUUUACAAGAAAAGAAGAUUAAAAUUCCGAUUCUUCAGCACAUACAUACAAACAACUUUCGUACAAACAAUGAUUCGUACUUGAGUGAAUAUUGUUUUCGUGUACGAAAAUUGUUGGCUCAAGAAUUGAAAUUUCUAAAAGAAAAGGAAGCAAAAGAAGAAUGACCCGGAGGACGAGGAUGGAAAACAAAAGGCACUUUUAAGCGCCAACUGGUGAAUGCCAACUGGACUGACCCAUUAUUUAGCCGAAAGUUGAGACCAACUGCACAUAGACAUUUAAUUGAAAUUCCUAUAUAAUAGAAAUCCAAAUUUUUGCUUAUUUCCUGGAAGAAGGAAGAAGAAAAAUUGCAUAGCCAAUCCUCCUUUAAAAUAUUAGAUGUUUCUACGUUUGAGGAAUUUGAGUACUUGCUUGGAGAAGAGAGCUACUCAGCUCUAUUAGUAUAAGAAAGGUGAUGUCGAUUCACCUCGAUUCCGAUUAAUUAAGUUUUCGGAAUUUUAUAAUUUUUAUAAUUAUAUAAUUGAAUAGAGGUCUAUAUAGAAUGUAGAUUAAUAUAAUAGAGCACUUCUCUAUGGUUAUACAUACAUAUAAUAAAUUUGAUUAAAUAAAAAUAUAAAUAUAUA